AUAAACGGCAGAAUGACAGGCCUGUGGAAAAGCUGGAGAGGCUGGAAAGAAAGAGGAAACGGGAAUGUUCAACAGUGGAGCAACAGGCUUCUUGCCAUGCUAAUGAUGAUCCAGUGACACCAGAGGAAGCAGUGGAAGAAGCUGAGGCUAUGGUCCCUGAAGCAGCAUACAACAGUCUCAGUGAGAAGUAUGAACAACUCAACACUGAAUAUGUCAACUUAAGAAAAGACUUUUACCAACUUAAAGAGGAGAAUGAAAGACUGAAAGAGGAGCUUCAGAAAUCACGCUUCUCAUUCUCCACGAUCAAAAACAAUGCUGCACAC